AGCGAACGCUGGCGGCAGGCCUAACACAUGCAAGUCGAACGAGCCUUCGGGCUAGUGGCGGACGGGUGAGUAACACGUGGGAACGUACCUUUAGGUUCGGAACAACUCAGGGAAACUUGAGCUAAUACCGGAUAAGCCCUUCGGGGAAAGAUUUAUCGCCUUUAGAGCGGCCCGCGUUAGAUUAGCUAGUUGGUGGGGUA
rnacentral:rRNA from 1 species